ACCCUGCCGCAGGGGCGCUAGCGUUUGAUCGGUCAAGCUAGCGCAAGGCGGCUGCGGAUAAGCCGGGAGUGCCGCACUCCAGAAAAACCCCGGCAGCG
rnacentral:ncRNA from 1 species